AGCGAACGCUGGCGGCAGGCCUAACACAUGCAAGUCGAACGGAUCCUUCGGGAUUAGUGGCGGACGGGUGAGUAACACGUGGGAACGUGCCCUUUGGUUCGGAACAACUCAGGGAAACUUGAGCUAAUACCGGAUGUGCCCUUCGGGGGAAAGAUUUAUCGCCAUUGGAGCGGCCCGCGUCUGAUUAGCUAGUUGGUGAGGUAACGGCACACCAAGGCGACGAUCAGUAGCUGGUUUGAGAGGAUGAUCAGCCACACUGGGACUAAGACACGGCCCAGACUCCUACGGGAGGGAGCAGUGGGGAAUCUUGCGCAAUGGGCGAAGGCCUGACGCAGCCAUGCCGGGUGAAUGAUGAAGGUCUUAGGAUUGUAAAAUUCUUUCAGCGGGGACGAUAAUGACGGUACCCGCAGAAGAAGCUCCGGCUAACUUCGUG
rnacentral:rRNA from 1 species